GACGAACGCUGGCGGCGUGCUUAACACAUGCAAGUCGAACGGAGUGGCGAACGGGUGAGUAACACGUGGGUGACCUGCCCUGCACUUCGGGAUAAGCCUGGGAAACUGGGUCUAAUACCGGAUAGUGUGGGAUGGGCGCGCGGCCUAUCAGCUUGUUGGUGGGGUAAUGGCCUACCAAGGCGGCGACGGGUAGCCGGCCUGAGAGGGGGGACGGCCACGUUGGGACUGAGAAACGUCCCAGACGCCUAUAGGGGGCAACCGUGGGGAAUAUUGCACAAUGGGCGGGGGACUGAUGCAGAGACGCUGCGUGGGGGAUGACGGCCUUCGGGUUGUAAACUCCUUUCACCAUCGACGCGGUAGAUGGAGAAGAAGCACCGGCUAACUACGUGCCAGCAGCCGCGGUAAUUC
rnacentral:rRNA from 1 species